rnacentral:lncRNA from 1 species
CCAUGUGAAGAAAUGGGGAAACUGAGGAGCAGAGAGGUGAACUAACUUGUCCAAAGGCACACAGCAAGGGCUCUGACUCUCCACUUUCUAAGUUUUUUGUUCUUAUCUCUUCACAGUACAUAGCAGGCAUGGUAUGAGGGUGGCGUGCUGCACAAUUUCGCUGUUUGUUUCUCGGAAUAAUAAUUUAUAGGGGACUGCUUCUAGAUUCCAAAGGAAAGAGAAAAAGAAAUAUGCCCCAAACUCAGGCUUUCUGCCUGGCCCUGCCUGACUGUCUGAGCUGCAUUGAACAAAUGAUUUAUUCACUGGCCUUGACCUCAGUGGGUUUGGCCACCCAUUGAGAGUGAAGUCACACCUCCAGCACUGCGAUACAUUCAUUGAUCCACUCACCUAGCUUCGUGGCAGGCAAGAAACAGGCCUAUGUGAGCCUGCCCAGGAUCAGGGACAGGAAAACACACAAGUGUUUCUGGAUAUCCUCAAACUGUUGCUGGGCUGCUCAGUUCUUCCCUAGGAGAUUCUCCGGGGGGCCUGAAUUAGUUUGCUAGGGCUUCCGCAACAAAAUGCCACAGACUGAGCAGCUUAAAUAAAAAUGUAUCAUCUCGUGGUUCUGGAGCCUGAAAGUCUGAGAUCAAGGUGCUGGGCAUUAGGACUUGAACAUAUGUUUUUUGGGGGUACACUUCAACCCAUCGGAGGGCCUGUGCCCCAAAGAGAGCCUCCUUCUGUGUGCAAUGAAGGUGUGAGUUAUAAACAUGAGACGAAAACACCCCUGUUCUUGGAUAGGAUGACUCAAUACCACAAACAGUCCAAUUGGCCCAGCUUCUGUAAUAAAAAUGGUGUACCUGGAAACGAAUAGCCAGACAGACCAAUGGAACAAUGAAGUCCAGAAAUGUAUUCAAGUACACGUGAAGAUUUGGUGCAUGGCCAAGGUGGUGUCUCAGAUCACUGGGACAUAAGACUUGUUAAUAAGCAGUGCUGGAACCAUGGCAUUCCGUUUGGAAAAAAGAUAAAAGUGAAUCCAUACCUCACACCAAACAUCAGAAUAAACACCAAAUGGUCCAGAGAUCCA